rnacentral:rRNA from 1 species
GACGAACGCUGGCGGCGUGCUUAACACAUGCAAGUCGAACGGAAAGGCCCUGCUUUUGUGGGGUUCUCGAGUGGCGAACGGGUGAGUAACACGUGAGUAACCUGCCCUUGACUUUGGGAUAACUUCAGGAAACUGGGGCUAAUACCGGAUAGGAGCUCCUGCUGCAUGGUGGGGGUUGGAAAGUUUCGGCGGUUGGGGAUGGACUCGCGGCUUAUCAGCUUGUUGGUGGGGUAGUGGCUUACCAAGGCUUUGACGGGUAGCCGGCCUGAGAGGGUGACCGGCCACAUUGGGACUGAGAUACGGCCCAGACUCCUACGGGAGGCAGCAGUGGGGAAUAUGGCACAAUGGGCGGAAGCCUGAUGCAGCAACGCCGCGUGCGGGAUGACGGCCUUCGGGUUGUAAACCGCUUUAGCCUGUGACGAAGCGUGAGUGACGGUAAUGGGUAAAGAAGCACCGGCUAACUACGUG